GUGCCCGUAGCUCAGUGGAUAGAGUGGCAGACUUCGAAUCUGUUCGUCGGGGGUUCGAAUCCCUCCGGGCACG
rnacentral:tRNA from 1 species